rnacentral:tRNA from 1 species
GCCGGGGUGGCUCAGUCGGUUAAGCGUCUGACUUCAGCUCAGGUCAUGACCUCGUGCUUUGUGGGUUCGAGCCCCGCAUUGGGCU